UUGAUUAAGGGCCUAUUUUUCAAUGCUCAGAUAGACAACCAGAUAGCGUUUAUUCGACAGAUAGCGAAAUAUUGAAUUUUUCAACCGUCAGAUAGAACUUAUUCGUCCAAUAACUCAGUUAACUGGAGAAUAAAUCUAUCUGCUGCUUGAGCCGCCAGAUAGUGCUUAUUCGAUUGAUAAUUUGACAUUUGAGGUUAUUAAGUAGUUAAGUUCUUUUUUGUGUUUAUACCAAUUCUAAACUAUACAAGCGCAGAGAAUAAUCGUCUUUUCAAUGGAUAUUUUCGAUGAUAUUGAUGAUUUGGCGAUCGAAAAAUAGGUAGUAGGUAAUGAACGAAUGUAUUAAUCCUGUUGAAAGGAAAGUCAGAGUCGUCAAAACGAGGCCUGAUCAUUACAGCAUGUGGGAUGCAAAAGAAUUUCAUCGCCGAAAGGCGCCAGACUACAAACAUUAUGUUGAUUUAUUUUCAAGCAUUAAUUUAAAAAAAAAGAGGAAUGUAGUAGCACUUCCUUCAUAAUAAAAUAUUAAGGUACA